GGUUCCGCUAUCCCGGGGUGCUUCUACCGCCUCUUGGUUAUCCAAAGCAUUUCAAUCAGGUUUCCCCAAGCAAUUGGAGAGGAAUCUGCUUCUGUAUCGAGCGCUUAUACUAGCUCAAAGCGUUGUAUCCGGGGGCUUAGUAGAGCCCAUUAAGAUUCACCAAAUACAAAGCACAAGGUCUUUUUUCUGGUUCACCACAGAAGGCAGGUUGUCUGCUAAGUCUAUGGUCCG
rnacentral:lncRNA from 1 species